rnacentral:tRNA from 1 species
GGAGACAUGGUUGAGUUGUUAAUAGCUCCGGUCUUGAAAACCGGUACGGUUCUAGGAACUAUCAAGGAUUCGAAUCCCUUUCUCCCCC